rnacentral:rRNA from 1 species
AGCAGUGGGGAAUAUUGCACAAUGGGCGCAAGCCUGAUGCAGCCAUGCCGCGUGUAUGAAGAAGGCCUUCGGGUUGUAAAGUACUUUCAGUCGUGAAGAAGGUGUUAGGGUUAAUAACCUUAGCAAUUGACGUUAGCGACAUAAGAAGCACCGGCUAACUCCGUGCCAGCAGCCGCGGUAAUACGGAGGGUGCGAGCGUUAAUCGGAAUUACUGGGCGUAAAGGGCACGCAGGCGGUUAGUUAAGUUGGAUGUGAAAUCCCUGGGCUUAACCUAGGAAUGGCAUUCAAAACUGGUUAGCUAGAGUCUUGUAGAGGAGGGUAGAAUUCCAUGUGUAGCGGUGAAAUGCGUAGAGAUGUGGAGGAAUACCGGUGGCGAAGGCGGCUCUCUGGACAAAGACUGACGCUCAUGUGCGAAAGCGUGGGGAGCAAACAGGAUUAGAUACCUUGGUAGUCCACGCUGUAAACGAUGUCGAUUUGGAGGUUGUGGUCAUGAAUUGUAGCCUUCGGAGCUAACGCGUUAAAUUGACCGCCUGGGGAGUACGGCCGCAAGGUUAAAACUCAAAUGAAUUGACGGGGGCCCGCACAAGCGGUGGAGCAUGUGGUUUAAUUCGAUGCAACGCGAAGAACCUUACCUACUCUUGAC